AUCACUCUAAGCGGUGGAUCACUCGGCUCAUGGGUCGAUGAAGAACGCAGGAAACUGUGCGUCAUCGUGUGAACUGCAGGACACAUGAACAUCGACAUUUUGAACGCAUAUCGCAGUCCAUGCUGUUUUGUACUUUAAUUAAUUUUACAGUGCUGCUUGGACUACAUAUGGUUGAGGGUUGUAAGACUUUGCUAAUUAAGUUGUUUAAAAUUUUUCGAAGUUUUAAGCAUAUGGUAUAUUAUUGGAUAGAUUAUGUGUGUCCCUGAUAUGCAUAAAUUAUUCAUAAUAAAUAUAUAUAUGGAUGUACUACUCAUUGUAUAUUUUGUAUGAGAAAACUGAAGAAUUAUAUUUUCUUUUUUCAAAUCAAAUAAAACUGAGGAAUGUCUAGCAUAAAAGAAAAAUAUAUUUUUCCUUAAUCUAGAACUGCCUCUUAUUAAUGAUGUGUGAUAAAAGAAUUGUUGUAAAAUUUAUGAAACUUCAGAACAAAAGUAUUAUUCAUUAUAUUGAACAAUAAAUAAUGUUCAAUUAACAUUGUUUUAUACAACCUCAACUCAUAUGGAACUACCCCCUGAAUUUAAGCAUAUUAAUUAGGGGAGGAAAAUAAACUAACGGCGAGCGAAAAGAAACCAGUUCAGCACUAAGUCACUUUGUGUAUAUGGCAAAUGUGAGAUGCAGUGUACGGAACAUCAAUAUUCUAGUAUGAGAAGUUAACGAUUUAAGUCCUUCUUAAAUGAGGCCAUUUACCCAUAGAGGGUGCCAGGCCCGUAUAACGUUAAUGAUUACUAGAUGGUGUUUCCAAAGAGUCGUGUUGCUUGAUAGUGCAGCACUAAGUGGGUGGUAAACUCCAUCUAAAACUAAAUAUAACCAUGAGACCGAUAGUAAACAAGUACCGUGAGGGAAAGUUGAAAAGAACUCUGAAUAGAGAGUUAAAUAGUACGUGAAACUGCUUAGAGGUUAAGCCCGAUGAACCUGAAUAUCCGUUAUGGAAAAUUCAUCAUUAGAAUUGUAAUAUUUUAAACAAUAUUAUAAUAAUAGUGUGCAUUUUUUCCAUAUAAGGACAUUGUAAUCUAUUAGCAUAAAUAUUUAUCAUAAAAUUAUGUCUGAUUGCUUAUUUGAAUUAUAUGCUUGGCAUUUUAACAUAAAAUAAAAGAUAUAAAUUUGAUAAAGUGCUGAUAGAUUUAUAUGAUUACAGUGCGUUAAUUUUUCGGAAUUAUAUAAUGGCAUAAUUAUCAUUGAUAUUUGUGUUUAUUAUAUGCAUUUGUAUGAUUAACAAUGCGAAAGAUUCAGGAUACCUUCGGGACCCGUCUUGAAACACGGACCAAGGAGUCUAACAUAUGUGCAAGUUAUUGGGAUAUAAACCUAAUAGCGUAAUUAACUUGACUAUUAAUGGGAUUAGUUUUUUAACUAUUUAUAGUUAAUUAACGCAAUCCCGGGGCGCUCUAUAUAGUUAUGUAUAAUAAUAUUUAUAUUAUUUAUGCCUCUAACUGGAACGUACCUGGAGCAUAUAUGCUGUGACCCGAAAGAUGGUGAACUAUACUUGAUCAGGUGGAAGUCAGGGGAAACCCUGAUGGAAGACCGAAACAGUUCUGACGUGCAAAUCGAUUGUCAGAAUUGAGUAUAGGGGCGAAAGACCAAUCGAACCAUCUAGUAGCUGGUUCCUUCCGAAGUUUCCCUCAGGAUAGCUGGUGCAUUUAACUGUUGUAUAAAAUAAUCUUAUCUGGUAAAGCGAAUGAUUAUAGGCCUUAGGAUCGAAACGAUCUUAACCUAUUCUCAAACUUUAAAUGGGUAAAAGCUUAACUUUCUUGAUAUGAAGUUUAAGGUUAUGAUAUAAUGUGCCCACUUUUGGGUGGGUCACUUUUGGUAAGCAGAACUGGCGCUUUGGGAUGAACCAAACGUAAUGUUACGGUGCCCAAAUUAACAACUCAUACAGAAACCAUGAAAGACGUUGGUUGCUUAAAAUGGCAGGACGGUGAUCAUGGAAGUCAAAAUCCGCUAAGGAGUGUGUAACAACUCACCUGCCGAAGCAACUAGCCCUUAAAAUGGAUGGCGCUUAAGUUGUAUACCUAUACAUUACCGCUAAAGUAGAUGGUUUAUAUUACUUGUAAUAUAAAUUUUGAAACUUUAGUGAGUAGGAAGGUACAAUGGUGUGCAUAGAAGUGUUUGGCGUAAGCCUGCAUGGAGCCGCUAUUGGUACAGAUCUUGGUGGUAGUAGCAAAUAAUCGAAUGAGACCUUGGAGGACUGAAGUGGAGAAGGGUUUCGUGUGAACAGUGGUUGAUCACCAGUUAGUCGGUCCUAAGUUCAAGGCGAAAGCCGAAAAUCGCGCUUGCCCCAGCAUGGAGGAUAAUGGCCGAGGGGACAGGGGCGAUUAUAGCGGAGCUUUCGGCAGCUGCCGAAAUGACCCGCCUUGUCCUGGUGGGUGUCGCCCCCGAAGCCGCGCGCGAAGUGUCGGCAGCCGUUAAGCGAUUGGAGGAGCUGUCCACGUCGCUGGCAGUGCGGAACGGUUUGCUCGAGAGCCUGGCAGGCAGAUCGUCUGCAGCACAGCUCGCCGCCUCCACCCCAACUGCUGCUCACCAAGUCGUCCACCAAGUUGCCCACCAUGCUGCCCGCACCGCUGUCCCCGUCCCAGGAGUUCCGAUCGCUGCCCCACGGAUCAACAAGCCAGUUGAGACGUGGUCCACGGUGAUCACGAGUCGGGACCCGAGCGAGUCGGGCAAAAUGGU
rnacentral:rRNA from 1 species